rnacentral:rRNA from 1 species
UACGGAAGGCAGCAGUGGGGAAUAUUGCACAAUGGGCGCAAGCCUGAUGCAGCCAUGCCGCGUGUAUGAAGAAGGCCUUCGGGUUGUAAAGUACUUUCAGUCGUGAGGAAGGUGUUAAGGUUAAUAACCUUAGCAAUUGACGUUAGCGACAGAAGAAGCACCGGCUAACUCCGUGCCAGCAGCCGCGGUAAUACGGAGGGUGCGAGCGUUAAUCGGAAUUACUGGGCGUAAAGGGCACGCAGGCGGUUAAUUAAGUUGGAUGUGAAAUCCCCGGGCUUAACCUGGGAAUGGCAUUCAAGACUGGUUAGCUAGAGUCUUGUAGAGGGGGUAGAAUUCCAUGUGUAGCGGUGAAAUGCGUAGAGAUGUGGAGGAAUACCGGGUGGCGAAGGCGGCCCCUUGGGACAAAGGACUGACGCUCAUGUGCGAAAGCGUGGGGAGCAAACAGGGAUUAGAUACC